rnacentral:rRNA from 1 species
AAUAUUGCACAUUGGGCGAAAGCCUAAUGCAGCAACGCCGCGUGAGCGCGGAAGGCCUAUGGGUCGUAAAGCACUGUCCAGAAGGAAGAUAAUGACGGUACUUCACGAGGAACCACUGGCCAACUCCGUACCAUCAGCCGCGGUAAUACGUAGGGGGCUAGCGUUAUCCGGAAUUAUUGGGCGUAAAGAGUGCGUAGGUGGUUAUUUAAGCGUGUGGUGAAAGGCAAUAGCUUAACUAUUGUAAGCCGCGCGAACUGGGUAACUUGAGUGCAGGGGAGGAAAGCGGAAUUCCUAGUGUAGCGGUGAAAUGCGUAGAUAUUAGGAGGAACACCAGUGGCGAAGGCGGCUUUCUGGACUGUAACUGACACUGAGGCACGAAAGCGUGGGGAGCAAACA